GCCUAACACAUGACAAGUCGAGCGGAGAUAAGUGAAGCCUAGCGACUCUUAUCGUUAGCGGCGGAGUGGGUGAGUAACACGUGGGUAACCUGCCCUGCACUGGGGAAUAACAGCUGGAAACGGCUGUUAAUGCCGCAUAUGCGCACGGAGCCGCAUGGCUUUGGGCGGAAAGAUUUAUCGGUGCAGGAUGGGCCCGCGCCGGAUUAACUAGUUGGCGGGGUAACGGCCCACCAAGGUGAUGAUCCGUAGCCGACCUGAGAGGGUGACCGGCCACAUUGGGACUGAGACACGGCCCAAACUCCUACGGGAGGCAGCAGUGGGGGAUAUUGCACAAUGGGGGAAACCCUGAUGCAGCGACGCCGCGUGAAGGAUGAAGUAUUUCGGUAUGUAAACUUCUAUCAGCGGGGAAGAAGAUGACGGUACCCGACUAAGAAGCCCCGGCUAACUACGUGCCAGCAGCUGC
rnacentral:rRNA from 1 species